rnacentral:rRNA from 1 species
CCUACGGGUGGCAGCAGUGAGGAAUAUUGGUCAAUGGGCGCGAGCCUGAACCAGCCAAGUAGCGUGAAGGAUGACGGCCCUACGGGUUGUAAACUUCUGUUAUAAAGGAAUAAAGUGAGGCACGUGGGCCGUUUUGUAUGUACUUUAUGAAUAAGGAUCGGCUAACUCCGUGCCAGCAGCCGCGGUAAUACGGAGGAUCCGAGCGUUAUCCGGAGUUAUUGGGUUUAAAGGGAGCGUAGAUGGGUUGGUAAGUCAGUUGUGAAAGUUUGCGGCUCCACCGGAAAAUUGCAAUUGUUACUGGCAGUCUUGAGUACAGUUGCGGUCGGCGGAAUUCGUGGUGUAGCGG